UACACGAGCGGCGAACGGGUGAGUAACACGUGGGUGAUCUGCCUUGCACUUCGGGAUAAGCCUGGGAAACUGGGUCUAAUACCGGAUAUGACCUCGGGAUGCAUGUUCUGGGGUGGAAAGAUUUAUCGGUGCGAGAUGGGCCCGCGGCCUAUCAGCUUGUUGGUGAGGUAACGGCUCACCAAGGCGACGACGGGUAGCCGACCUGAGAGGGUGACCGGCCACACUGGGACUGAGACACGGCCCAGACUCCUACGGGAGGCAGCAGUGGGGAAUAUUGCACAAUGGGCGAAAGCCUGAUGCAGCGACGCCGCGUGCGGGAUGACGGCCUUCGGGUUGUAAACCGCUUUUGACAGGGACGAAGCGCAAGUGACUGUACCUGUAGAAUAAGGACCGGCCAACUACGUGCCAGCAGCCGCGGUAAUACGUAGGGUCCGAGCGUUGUCCGGAAUUACUGGGCGUAAAGAGCUUGUAGGCGGUUCGUCGCGUCGUUUGUGAAAACUUGGGGCUCAACCUUAAGCUUGCAGGCGAUACGGGCGGACUAGAGUACUUCAGGGGAGACUGGAAUUCCUGGUGUAGCGGUGAAAUGCGCAGAUAUCAGGAGGAACACCGGUGGCGAAGGCGGGUCUCUGGGAAGUAACUGACGCUGAGAAGCGAAAGCAUGGGUAGCAAACAGGAUUAGAUACCCUGGUAGUCCAUGCCGUAAACGGUGGGUACUAGGUGUGGGGCUCCUUCCACGGACUCCGUGCCGUAGCUAACGCAUUAAGUACCCCGCCUGGGGAGUACGGCCGCAAGGCUAAAACUCAAAGAAAUUGACGGGGGCCCGCACAAGCGGCGGAGCAUGUGGAUUAAUUCGAUGCAACGCGAAGAACCUUACCUGGGUUUGACAUACACCGGAAACCUGCAGAGAUGUAGGCCCCCUUGUGGUCGGUGUACAGGUGGUGCAUGGCUGUCGUCAGCUCGUGUCGUGAGAUGUUGGGUUAAGUCCCGCAACGAGCGCAACCCUUAUCUUAUGUUGCCAGCGCGUAAUGGCGGGGACUCGUGAGAGACUGCCGGGGUCAACUCGGAGGAAGGUGGGGACGACGUCAAGUCAUCAUGCCCCUUAUGUCCAGGGCUUCACACAUGCUACAAUGGCCGGUACAGAGGGCUGCGAGACCGUGAGGUGGAGCGAAUCCCUUAAAGCCGGUCUCAGUUCGGAUCGGGGUCUGCAACUCGACCCCGUGAAGUUGGAGUCGCUAGUAAUCGCAGAUCAGCAACGCUGCGGUGAAUACGUUCCCGGGCCUUGUACACACCGCCCGUCACGUCAUGAAAGUCGGUAACACCCGAAGCC
rnacentral:rRNA from 1 species